rnacentral:rRNA from 1 species
ACAGAGGGGGCGAGCGUUAUUCGGAAUUAUUGGGCGUAAAGGGCGCGUAGGCGGUGUCUUAAGUGGGAUGUGCAAUCCCCGGGCUUAACCUGGGAACUGCAUCCCAGACUGGGACGCUAGAGUGCUGGAGAGGGUGGUAGAAUUCCACGUGUAGCGGUGAAAUGCGUAGAGAUGUGGAGGAAUACCAGUGGCGAAGGCGGCCACCUGGACAGCAACUGACGCUGAGGCGCGAAAGUGUGGGUAGCAAACAG